rnacentral:rRNA from 1 species
AGCUCCAAUAGCGUAUAUUAAAGUUGUUGUGGUUAAAAAGCUCGUAGUUGGAUCUCAACAGCCUUGAAGCGGUUAACUUUGUAGUUUUACUGCUUUGUAGGCUGUGCUUUUGCUGGAGGUUUAGGGGUGCUCUUGAUCGAGUGUCUCUGGAUGCCAGCAGGUUUACUUUGAAAAAAUUAGAGUGCUCAAAGCAGGCUAAAAUGCCUGAAUAUUCGUGCAUGGAAUAAUAGAAUAGGAUGUCGAUCCUAUUUUGUUGGUUUUCGGGACUCGACAUAAUGAUAAAUAGGGACAGUCGGGGGCAUUUGUAUUCAAACGACAGAGCAUUUGCCAAGAAUGUUUUCA